rnacentral:lncRNA from 1 species
GGGAGAAUGGAGAAGAUGAUGAUGUGGAUGUUUUCUUUAUCAUUUUUUUUAUUUUUUUUCCACAUGUCCUAAAUUUGCUUAGGUGUCACUUUCCGGCUGCCACCUCAUCGAUUCCGGCUGCCACCUUGUAAUUUCCGGCGCCGGUGUCAGUAAAAACCGGUCACCGGACAAAUUCCAGACAAAAACUAAAGGUUAGGUAUUUAAAAGAAGAAAAAUAAAAAAAGGUGCAAAAACCAAUUCCGUGUA